rnacentral:rRNA from 1 species
UACGGAGGGCGCAAGCGUUGUUCGGAAUCAUUGGGCGUAAAGCGCGUGUAGGCGGCCAUUUAAGUCGGAUGUGAAAGCCCGGGGCCCAACCCCGGAACUGCAUUCGAUACUGAGUGGCUGGAGUCCCGGAGAGGAAGGCGGAAUUCCCGGUGUAGAGGUGAAAUUCGUAGAUAUCGGGAGGAACAUCAGUGGCGCAGGCGGCCUUCUGGACGGUGACUGACGCUGAGACGCGAAAGCUUGGGGAGCAAACAGG